rnacentral:rRNA from 1 species
UGGGUGGAUCAGUGGCGAACGGGUGAGUAACACGUGAGCAACCUGCCCCCUACUUCGGGAUAAGCCUUGGAAACGAGGUCUAAUACCGGAUAUGAACACUUGUCGCAUGGCGGGUGUUGGAAAGUUUUUCGGUGGGGGAUGGGCUCGCGGCCUAUCAGCUUGUUGGUGGGGUAAUGGCCUACCAAGGCGUCGACGGGUAGCCGGCCUGAGAGGGCGACCGGCCACACUGGGACUGAGACACGGCCCAGACUCCUACGGGAGGCAGCAGUGGGGAAUAUUGCACAAUGGGCGAAAGCCUGAUGCAGCGACGCCACGUGAGGGAUGACGGCCUUCGGGUUGUAAACCUCUUUCAGCAGGGAAGAAGCGAAAGUGACGGUACCUGCAGAAGAAGCGCCGGCUAACUACGUGCCAGCAGCCGCGGUAAUACGUAGGGCGCAAGCGUUGUCCGGAAUUAUUGGGCGUAAAGAGCUCGUAGGCGGUCUGUCGCGUCUGGUGUGAAAUCCCAUGGCUCAACUGUGGGCUUGCAUCGGGUACGGGCAGACUAGAGUGCUGUAGGGGAGACUGGAAUUCCUGGUGUAGCGGUGGAAUGCGCAGAUAUCAGGAGGAACACCGAUGGCGAAGGCAGGUCUCUGGGCAGUUACUGACGCUGAGGAGCGAAAGCAUGGGGAGCGAACAGGAUU